rnacentral:rRNA from 1 species
UACGUAGGGGGCGAGCGGUGUCCGGAAUUAUUGGGCGUAAAGAGCGUGUAGGCGGUUCGGUAAGUCUGCCGUGAAAACCUGGGGCUCAACCCCAGGCGUGCGGUGGAUACUGCCGGGCUAGAGGGUGGUAGAGGCGAGUGGAAUUCCCGGUGUAGCGGUGAAAUGCGCAGAUAUCAGGAGGAACACCGAUGGCGAAGGCAGGUCUCUGGGCCGAUACUGACGCUGAGGAGCGAAAGCGUGGGGAGCGAACAGG